UGUGUCUGUCCCUUCACGAUAAGCCCUGUUGAUUUGCUCCAAUGGGGAACAACCCUUCUCUCUUCUCUCGUUAGGGCACUUUUGAACCUCCAAUUCCCUCACAAUUCCCGUACACACCGGAUUUUCCUUCCCACUUUCUCACCGACCAAACAGGCCACCCAACCAACAACCAACCCUACUCCACUCCCACUACUUGUAUGCUACACAUGUGAUCGAAGCGUGACGGAGAGAAAGUGAGGGAAGGAAAGAAAGAAAGAAGAGUUGGGAAACUCGAAGUGCAGGAAAUCCGCGCUCUUGACGGGAAUUCCGGCGACACCGAGCACCUCAGAAGAAGCUGAUGAUCUGAGAAGUGGGUGUUUCUCAAAUGAGCUGAAUUUGCAGGUUGUGAUUUAAGAACACAGAUCUGUGAGCUUUGGGUGUUUAUCCAAAUUGUCUGAUUAAGACAAACAAAAACAAAAAUACUAAUAAUUAUAACAAAACAAAGCAGAGCUGAGAGCUUAACACCUGUCAGGACUCUAACCAAUGUUCAAAGCUCAGCGAAAGCUUUAAAUGCUGGGAGGAAGCAGAAAAAUGGCUGUGCUCAGAUCGGCGAAUGAUACUCAAUUUACUGCGCCUGCUUUAGCUUGAAUCUGAGGCAGAAAAAGGCUCAGAUCGAGGGCUGAGGGUCUGAGAGCAAUUUUCAGAGGGUUUGCUUUUGAAAGGCGGUUCUGGGUGGGUGUCUUCGACUGCAAAAAGCUUAAACGAGAGAGCUGCUGCUGCUGCUAGCCUUCACUGACUUGGACCGUGAUAUAUCGGCGCAGCGUAAAAAAAGGCCUUUUAAUCACUAGACAGCCAAAGUAGUCUCUGAAUUAUCGUCAUCAAUAUGAACAGGACACUGCUACCCCACCUGCACGAGUACUCUCAUCACACCUCUUUCUCGAUCUAAAAAGAAAAGAAAAAAAAAGAAAAACCCAAUAAUCUCUCUCUCUCUUUCUCUCUCUAGAAGCCGUACAAAACCUCACAAGCCAAAAGGGUGUGUGUAAUUUGUAGAGUUUCUGUUUGAGAAAGGCAUGAAAGCGGUAUGGAGGUGGAAGAGAUUCAGCAGGGACAAGCUUGCAAGUUCCCAAGGGUUGGAAAUGGGAGAAAUGUUGAGUCUAACAAGAUAGGCUCAAGAGGAGGAGGAGGAGGAGGAGGGGGUAUAAGCGACCGCUACCACCCAGAUGACGAAGAGGAUGUUGAGCUGAAAAGUGUUACCAAUGUCAACAGGCUUCGUGGCUGGCACCACUCCUCGCGGAUCAUCAGGGUUUCGCGGGCCUCCGGCGGGAAAGAUCGACACAGCAAAGUCAUGACGUCAAAGGGGUUGAGAGACCGGAGGGUUAGGCUGUCUGUCACCACGGCGAUUCAGUUCUACGAUCUUCAGGAUCGGCUCGGUUACGAUCAGCCUAGCAAAGCCGUGGAGUGGCUGAUCAAGGCCGCCGCCGAUGCUAUCAACGAGCUUCCCUCUUUGAACAGCUCUUUCCCCGACACCCCGAAGCAACUGAGCGAUGAGAAGCGAGCGAGCGAAGGUGGGUUCGAUUCAGCUGAGGUGGAGCUUGAUGGCGGUGACCCCAAUUUUCAGCAAAAUCAAAGCCAGCACCUUUCUCUUUCCAAGUCUGCUUGUAGCAGCACCUCGGAGACGAGCAAAGGCUCCGGCUUGUCUCUCUCCCGGUCGGAAAUCCGCGUCAAGGCGCGCGAGCGGGCAAGGGAGAGAGCCAAGGAGAAGGAGAAGGAAAACGAUCAAAAUGUAAACCACAUUCAGCAAAACGCUUCUUUUACGGAGCUUCUCACCGGCGGAAUCAGCAGCGUUAACAACAACGCUGCAACUAGUCCCGCUCAAAACCAAAGCGGUGAGCAGCCUAAUUUGUUCCACAAGGCGACGAGACAGUGGACGGCGCCGAUGGACUACUUCGACUCGGGGCUUCUGGAGCCGUCGUCCCGAGCAGCACAUCACUCGUCGGGAUUCUCCGGACAAAUCCAUUUGGGAAAUUCCCUUUCACAGACAAUGACAAUGUCUGUUAAUCCUGCGGCGUUCAAUGUCUCCGGGGAUAACAACCAUUUGGAGCUGCAACAUUUCUCGUUAAUUCCCGACCAUCUCAUCCCGGUGGCAGCGGCGUCAUCACAGCCCGCCGUUGACUACAAUCUUAACUUCACCAUCUCUUCUUCCGGCCUUGCUGGCUACAACAGGGGGACCCUUCAGUCCAAUUCACCGUCUCUUUUGCCUCACCUCCAGAGGUUCUCUGCUAUAGACGGAACACCACACGUGCCUUUCUUCAUGGCUUCUGCGGCGGCUUCAGGGCCUCCGCCCAUGGAGAAUCACCAACAACACCACCACCACCACCAACAACAGUUCUCACCUGAAUUCGACGGCCGCUUGCAGCUCUGCUACGGCGACAGUAGCCGGCACUCAGACCAGAAGGGAAAAGGAAAGAACUGAGUUCCUGUAAGACCAACCUUCCCUCUUGGCCCAUCUUCUUCCUGUUUGUGUACUCAUGGAACAGGCUCUUAUAUUUCUCACCGUGAUGGUGUUAUGAAGGUGUCGUGUUACUAGAGGAUUGCAUUUAUGGCAUGAAAGGUUCAUAAAGAACCAGUGUAUCUCCCUAGUAAUUGGCCAGAAAGAAAGCCUCUAUCUUCCUUUGAAUGAAUAUCAAAAGUAACAAAAACUCUCAAUCUUCUUAACUGGAAAAUGAAGAAGCAGCGGCAAGAUGUGAGCAAAAUGCGUGCCUUCCCUGCAUCGGUUGAGACCUUGUUGUUGUGCUUCUGAUGUUAGUCUGUCUGUUUAAGCAAAUUUCAAGCCAUUAGGCUUGCAUUCACAUAUUUGGAUACAUUUAUCUACUCCUGCGCAGCAUUUGUGUGUUUUGAAGAAAUAUUACUUACAAUUCAAUUGAAGUAAUUCUUUCUCUUCU